rnacentral:rRNA from 1 species
UCGAACGAGAAAAUCCCUUCGGGGGUGAGUACAGUGGCGCACGGGUGAGGAACGCGUAGGUAAUCCACCCUCUGGCGGGGGACAACAUUCCGAAAGGGAUGCUAAUACCGCGUAAGACCACGCUCACUACGGUGAAAGUGGUUAAAGGUGCCUCAAAGCACCACCAGAGGACGAGCCUGCGUCCCAUCAGCUUGUUGGUAAGGUAAUGGCUUACCAAGGCUAAGACGGGUAGCUGGUCUGAGAGGAUGAUCAGCCACACUGGCACUGGAACACGGGCCAGACUCCUACGGGAGGCAGCAGUGAGGAAUAUUGGGCAAUGGGCGAAAGCCUGACCCAGCCACGCCGCGUGUGUGAUGAAGGCCUUCGGGUCGUAAAGCACUGUGGGGAGAGACGAAACAGCGCAUCAGGAAAUGGGUGCGCCUUGACGGUACCUCCUUAGCAAGCACCGGCUAACUCUGUGCCAGCAGCCGCGGUAAUACAGAGGGUGCAAACGUUGCUCGGAUUUACUGGGCGUAAAGCGCGUGUAGGCGGACUCGCAAGUCGGUUGUGAAAUCCCUGGGCUUAACCUAGGAACUGCAUCCGAAACUGCUUGUCUUGAGUAAUGGAGAGGGUGGCGGAAUUCCCGGUGUAGAGGUGAAUUCGUAGAUAUCGGGAGGACAUCAGUGGCGAAGCGGCCACCUGG